rnacentral:lncRNA from 1 species
AGUCGGUGUGAAGACGCGAGGUGGAACUUUCUCGCAUUUUAAGUUACUUUUGCACACAGUGCCAUAACUUCGCAGUAUUGCUGAGUGCCAUUCCGACGGCAACAUUGAAUUAGAAUGAAGAUUUUUUGCUUCAACACUCUUCUCUUUGUUACGUUCGCAUCUCUUCUCUCUUUAACUGAGAAGGGAACACCUUCAAUAGCACUUGCAUUUCCAAGUCCUGGAGUUGGUCCAAGUGUCCUACAAGAUCAUAGUGCCCGAGCAAUGGAUAGGAUGGCGUAUCCACUACAAACGGGACAACACCCCCAUGGCCAUAAAGGAAAUCCACACCAAAAAAAUAUUCGAGGUCCUCACAGGCACGCACCCGUAGCGCUGGGAGGAAAACGAACACCGCCACCACUAAGCAAACCGCGGAGAAAAUUUCCGAAUAAUGCUUACGCGAAUAUGGGACAUCACAUAUAAGAUUCACUUUCGCAGUUUCUGGCUACCAACACAACAGCAGUUUGAAGGAUCCAUUUGCCGACUAAAGAGUUUCGCGCUUCACAAAAAGUUUUACUCGCCUGCAUUCUUUGUUUAUCAGUUUACCAUUAGACGAGUUCUGCUAAAUGUUUGCGCGUGCAUCUGUAAGCCAAAACGUGAAGCUUUAGACUUCUGAAUUAUGCAUGAUAUCGUGUGGAAAACUCGGCAAUGCUGCUUGUUUCCAAAAUAAACUAACAUAUAUCUUUUCUGCA